rnacentral:misc_RNA from 1 species
AAAUUCUCGACUGCCUCUCGGGGUGAAGUCGGAUUUGAAGCGUGUUUUUGCCAGGCUUUGUUGUUCUGGCUGCUUCUAAAAGCAUUCGAGCCUCUCGGUGCAAAAAGUAUCUUUGACGUGAUAACUGAUCUAUGUCAAAGCCUUAGAGAGGAUGGGCUCGUGAAUGUGUUUUUGG